CUCCAUUAGUUUACUACGUUUGUUGGUGGUAUUUUGACAAAUAUCCCAGGAAAUGAAAAUUGUUGCCAUAGAAACCAGUUUCAACUUGUUUGUGUUAGUUAACAUGCAUCUACGUAAUCGUUCGAUGGUCUAAUUUGUCCAUAGAUGUUAUAUGCUAGUUCUAGUUCAGUAUGUUGAAAAUGAUUCAACACUAAUUCUCUUGAGCAAUG
rnacentral:lncRNA from 1 species